AAAUGUAGGUAAGGGAAGUCAUCAAAAUGGAUCCAUAACUUUGGGAAAAGGAUUGACUCUAAGGGCUAGGCCUAGGGGUCUAAGUCCUCAACCCAUGGGCUCUCAGCAGUCUGCCUGAGCUAUUAUCGCGGCGAGGGUGGGCAGUCUCAUGUUGAUUGGGCUACGGAUGUAGAAUGUCCCCUCGCAGGGGAUUUUCCCUAGGAGGAAAACAAUCGACUCAAAACUGGUAUGGACAAGGGGAAUUCAACUGUUUAAUUAAAACAAAUCAUUGUGAUGGUCAGAGUUUAAUGUCAAAGUGAAGAAAUUCAACCAAGUGCGGGUAAACGAUGGGAGUAACUAUGAAUCUCUUAAGGUAUCCAAAUGCCUCAUCAUCUAAUUAGUGACACACAUGAAUGGAUUAAUUAGAUUCCCGCUGUCCCUAUCUAUUAUCUAGGGAAACCACAUCCAAGGGAAUGGGCUUGGCAGAAUCAGGGAGGAAAGAAGACCCUAUUGAGCUUGACUGUAGUCUGACUUUGUGAAAUGACUUGAGAGGUGUAGAAUAAGUGGGAGUUGUUUUCGACGCAAGUGAAAUACCACUACUUUUAACGUUGUUUUACUUAUUCUAUUGGGUGGAGACGGGUCAUCGCCCUUGUUUUUGGCCUUAAGACACGUUUCUAUAGGUCGAUCCAAGUGGAAGACAUUGUUAGGUGGGGAUUUUGGCUGGGGUGACACAUCUAUUAAAAUAUAAUGCAGGUGUCCUAAGAUGAGCUCAACGAGAACUGAAAUGUCGUGUGGAACAAAAGGGUAAAAUCUCAUUUGAUUUUGAUUUUCAAUACAAAUACAAACCAUGAAAGCGUGGCCUAUCGAUCCUUUAGAAUUUUUGAAUUUGAAGCUAGAGGUGUCAGAAAAGUUACCAUGGGGAUAAUUGGCUUGUGGCAGCCAAGCAUUCAUAGCAACAUUGCUUUUUGAUCCUUCGAUGUCUGAUCUUCCUAUCAUUGUGAAGCAGAAUUCACCAAGUGUUGGAUUGUUCACCCACCAAUAGGGAACAUGAGCUAGGUUCAGACCUUCAUGAGAUAGGUUAGUUUUACCCUACUAAUGAACCAUGCCACAAUAGUAAUUCAAAUUAGUACGAGAGGAACCAUUGAUUCACACAAUUGGUCAUCGCACUUGGUUGAAAAUCCAGUGGCGCGAAUCUAUCAUGUGUCAGAUUAUUAAUGAACGCCUCUAAGUCAGAAUCCAUGCUAGAAGCGGUGCUUCUCACUCCUUGAAUGUAUCUUGACCCACAAUAGGGGUGUCUCUUCAGCACCCCCAGGGGCCCGUGUCACUUAUGAACCUCAACCGAGAAGCAUCUUGGUCAGGGAAACUUUGAAGUUCAAUUUCAAAUGGUUGUUGAGAAGAAUCCUUUGCAAAUGACUUAAAUACACGAGGGGGUAUUGUAAGUGGUAGAGUGGCCUUGCUUCCAUGAUCCACUGAGAUUCAUCCCUUCAUCACCUUGAUUUAG
rnacentral:ncRNA from 1 species